CCCCCAUUAUCCCCCACGUUGUUCCACCUCCACUUCUGGGAGGAACCAGGCGGGGCCACAGAGCAGACUCCCCCAUCUCAUCCCACCAACUCUGUCAGUCCACCAGGCCCCACAAUGCAGCCUCCACACCACUGCAGUAACAGCCACAUCUUCCCAUCACAAAGCUUCAGUACUAUCUCAAUGUGUUGAAGUACCAUCCAGGAUCCUGUGUUAACGUCAAUGUGAAACAGCAUUGACCCGUGAUCACCACCAACCAGGGCUCCACAGCGGUAUCCUUCGAUGUCCAGGCUUCGCUCAAGAUCAACUGAAGGAGAUUUGGAAGGAUCCCAGUGAGCAAAAUUGACAUUUUUUGUUGUUGUAUAUAUGUAUUUUCAACGUCUUUUGAUCAUAGGGAUGGCCUCCCCAGAGAGCACACCAGGCAGCAAACAGCACUUUGAUGUGAUUGGCUGGUCAGCAGGAAGUAUUAUCUGGCUAAACAGAAGGGAUGAUGGAUCUGACAGAGAAUGUUUUUUAUGGAAUGAUGUCAGGUUAAUAUUGUCAAUAAAACAGGUGAAAUGUACAGAACGACUUGAUUG